rnacentral:rRNA from 1 species
AGAGUUUGAUCCUGGCUCAGAAUCAACGCUGGCGGCGUGCCUAACACAUGCAAGUCGAACGAGAAAGUGGAGCAAUCCAUGAGUAAAGUGGCGCACGGGUGAGUAACACGUGACUAACCUACCCUUGAGUGGGGGAUAACCUAGGGAAACCUGGGCUAAUACCGCAUAAUACCUACGGGUCAAAGGAGCAAUUCGCUCGAGGAGGGGGUCGCGGCCGAUUAGUUAGUUGGCGGGGUAAUGGCCCACCAAGACUGUGAUCGGUAUCCGGCCUGAGAGGGCGCACGGACACACUGGAACUGAAACACGGUCCAGACUCCUACGGGAGGCAGCAGUGGGGAAUUUUGCGCAAUGGGGGAAACCCUGACGCAGCAACGCCGCGUGGAGGAUGAAGUCCUUCGGGACGUAAACUCCUUUCGAUCGGGACGAUUAUGACGGUACCGGAAGAAGAAGCCCCGGCUAACUUCGUGCCAGCAGCCGCGGUAAUACGAGGGGGGCGAGCGUUGUUCGGAAUUAUUGGGCGUAAAGGGUGCGUAGGCGGUUUGGUAAGUCUGAUGUGAAAUCUAUGGGCUCAACUCAUAGUCUGCAUCGGAAACUGCCGGGCUUGAGUAUGGGAGAGGUGAGUGGAAUUCCUGGUGUAGCGGUGAAAUGCGUAGAUAUCAGGAGGAACACCUGUGGCGAAAGCGGCUCACUGGACCAUAACUGACGCUGAUGCACGAAAGCUAGGGGAGCAAACAGGAUUAGAUACCCUAGUAGUCC